rnacentral:rRNA from 1 species
UACGAAGGGUGCAAGCGUUACUCGGAAUUACUGGGCGUAAAGCGUGCGUAGGUGGUUUGUUAAGUCUGAUGUGAAAGCCCUGGGCUCAACCUGGGAAUGGCAUUGGAAACUGGCUUACUAGAGUGCGGUAGAGGGUAGCGGAAUUCCCGGUGUAGCAGUGAAAUGCGUAGAUAUCGGGAGGAACAUCCGUGGCGAAGGCGGCUACCUGGACCAGCACUGACACUGAGGCACGAAAGCGUGGGGAGCAAACAGG